UUGAAACGAAGGCUGGUUCAAGAAUGAUAUUGGAACUACAAAUCUCUUCUUUUGGCUUUCCCCAACAUAGACUGCAAAGUAUCCUUUGGGAACAUCCAUUGGAUGAUUUGCAAACGGUUUAGACUGAAAAAGAAUCUGCUUAGCUUGCAUGAUUCUAGGCACACGGAUAGCCGUUGCUGUUAGUAAUUUGGAGUAUGAAGAAGAUCAGAGAAGACUCCAGAAAAUGAAUGAUAAGAUUUGCUUGUA